GUAAGAGUUGUCUGUGCUUCUGGAGGAUGGAUUCAGAAUGUGGUUUGCACUCAAGCUUUCUGCCUGUGCACUUCGCCUGCUGUAGCUGAUGUGUGAACCCGAGUGAUCAUUUUGGUUGUCCUGUAAUUUACUGUGCAUGUGUCUGGCACCUGAAGACACAGUCCCCAAAUAAAGGACUUGUAAUUAACAAUGGAGGGAGCUUUCACUGGGGCAAGACAGGUCCACUGCUGUGUUUUCUCCAGACUUCCAAGGGAUAUGCCAGAGGCACCAUUACUGCAGCAGUUUAAGAACAGAGUUGUGGAUGGGGAAGUGACUAGCCCUACAGAUGAAGGCAAGCAGCCUGGAUUAGCACCAGUCUGCAUUUUCGUGUAUGGAGCAUUGUGUACUGUGACACUGUUUGAAAACAGUUUAACUGUUCAGUGGUGCUGGAAAAUAACUCCUCUUUUUGAAGUUGUUAGACACAUAACGUGGGAAAGCCUUGCAUUCAGUUAAUCAAUAAACUCCUAAUCUGUA